rnacentral:misc_RNA from 1 species
GAUGAAGAACGCAGCGAAAUGCGAUAAGUAAUGUGAAUUGCAGAAUUCCGUGAAUCAUCGAAUCUUUGAACGCACAUUGCGCCCGCCAGUAUUCUGGCGGGCAUGCCUGUUCGAGCGUCAUUUCAACCCUCAAGCCCCCGGGCUUGGUGUUGGGGCUCGGCCCGUCCCUAGCGGAUGCGCCGUCCCCGAAAUCUAGUGGCGGUCUCGCUGUAGCCUCCUCUGCGUAGUAGCUAACACCUCGCAAUGGGAACGCAGCGCGGCCACGCCGUUAAACCCCCCACUUCUGAAGGUUGACCUCGGAUCAGGUAGGAAUACCCGCUGAACUUAAGCAUAUCAAUAAGCGGAGGA